rnacentral:rRNA from 1 species
CUACCGGCUAUCUCGUCUGCACCUCGACGUCGCUCACUUCCAAGGCGCCACGGCGCUCGAGGUCAUGGACGCCUUCACAGGCGCGGCACAGAGGUUGCUGUCUGCACUUCCUCUGGCUUUUACAUGUCAUCCCCUCACCUGAGCUCCAUAGGCCGCACCGUCGAGGACGUCGUGAGCUAUGGCCAGACAGAAUGCCUCGAGUUUUGCAUAUCCACGCCGCCCGCUAGCAACACCGCCCCGCUGCUCGCGGAGAUUGGACAGCAGUUCAUGUCCUUCUCCCGCACAUACCCAGUCACCUUCUGGUGGCUCACGAGGCUUACAUUCGAGCACCUUGUGUUUGGCCAUUCCAACAUCACUGACCUCAUUAGCGCUUCCGGCAGGCUCAGACACCUCACUCUCAGACUCUGCAGACUGGUUGAUCUGCACUCCGCGCUCAAGGUCGACGUGCCGACCUCCGGGAUCCAGGAGCUCGAGUUCUUUGGCUUUGGGUGCACACAGAUCGAGCUCAUUUCUGUACCCAAGCUUAGGCAAGUGUGGUGCCAAUAUUUGCUCUUUGAGAACCCUCCAGUGUGCUUCGGCUACGUUCCUGAGCUUCGCGUUGUAAGACUCUUUUCUAAAGCCAAGGCAUGGCAGGCGUCAUUCACGCUGAGCGAGUGCCUCUCAAAGAGUGCAACGAACCUGUCGAAAUUGCAUCUCGAUUUUUUCCACCAAAAGAUUUGGAUUCAGCCAGAACAUCCGAAGCAGCUCACUACUAUAUUAAGAAACCUCACCUCUGUGUUUCUUUUGGGUAUCUUCAGUGAGUGUGAUCUGAGCUGGACACUAUUUUUCCUUGAAGCUGCACCUGCCCUAAAGAAUAUUGCAUUAUCUCGACAUUCUUGUAUCAUGAGGCUCGAGAACAGUCCCGAGAAGACCAACGUGGUGUGGAAGCCAUCCAAGGAUUUGAAGCACCUGAACUUGAAGGUGUUGCUGAUCUGCGGGUGCGAGGAUGAAGACAAGGUGACAAACUAUACAAGGCUUGUCGUGGGACGAGCUGUGGGGUUGAAUAGUAUCAUGCUUCAUGGUGAAUACCCAUGCGAGGACUGCAGUGCCACUGACCUUGAAAGACACAAGAUGGGUAAAGCAUCCAAGGUGGGUGAAGCUAGCAGACGUCGGAUUAAGGAGAAUGCUUGUAGUCUCGUA